rnacentral:lncRNA from 1 species
AGACGCCGCCAGCCAAGAUGUCAACCCGAAUUCUCCUCACAAAGGCCUGCCGUCCAACUCCAUGACCAAUGUCCCUGUUGACACAGGUGGGGCUGCCCAGGCUACUGCUGUUGAGGGUCUGACAGAGGCUGAGGAGGAAGAGCUCAGGGCCCAGCUACCAAGACGGAUGAGGAAACUGUCACUCUACACCAGUGCUGGCAGCCAAGGAGGGGGACUGUGGAGAGCUUGAGAGGAGGCUGGGCCUCUCUGCCUUGGAGGCUGAAACGGAACCCUCUCUAACGCCUAUGUGAAGACUUCUGAGAAAUGUGGAAGUGGAAUGAGAAAGUGGCCCACCCGGAUCUCUGCAAGACUCAGGAAAUGCUCCCACAGCAAGACAGAAGACCUCAACCAAGACAGAGACCUCAGCGGCCCUGUCCAUGGUGGGCUCUGCCAUCAGUAGGAAGCUCGGAGACGUAAGGAAAUUUGCAACUUUCAAGUCGUUUGAAGACCAAGUUGGGCCCAUGAAGUCUAAGGUCGUGGGUGACAGAGAACAGCAAGGACAAUCUCCCUUCCUCAGCAGGGAGGGGCGACGAGC